rnacentral:rRNA from 1 species
UACAGAGGUCUCAAGCGUUGUUCGGAUUCAUUGGGCGUAAAGGGUGUGUAGGUGGCGCCGUAAGUCGGGUGUGAAAUUUCGGAGCUUAACUCCGAAACUGCAUUCGAUACUGCGGUGCUUGAGGACUGGAGAGGAGACUGGAAUUCAUGGUGUAGCAGUGAAAUGCGUAGAGAUCAUGAGGAAGACCAGUGGCGAAGGCGGCUCACUGGUCCGGUACUGACGCUGAGGUGCGAAAGCGUGGGGAGCAAACAGG